CCUAAGGUAGCGAAAUUCCUUGUCGGGUAAGUUCCGACCUGCACGAAUGGCGUAAUGAUGGCCAGGCUGUCUCCACCCGAGACUCAGUGAAAUUGAACUCGCUGUGAAGAUGCAGUGUACCCGCGGCAAGACGGAAAGACCCCGUGAACCUUUACUAUAGCUUGACACUGAACACUGGUCCUUGAUGUGUAGGAUAGGUGGGAGGCUUUGAAGCGUGGACGCCAGUCUGCGUGGAGCCAACCUUGAAAUACCACCCUUUAAUGGCUGGUGUUCUAACGUAGACCCGUAAUCCGGGUUGCGGACAGUGUCUGGUGGGUAGUUUGACUGGGGCGGUCUCCUCCCAAAGAGUAACGGAGGAGCACGAAGGUUGGCUAAUCCUGGUCGGACAUCAGGAGGUUAGUGCAAUGGCAUAAGCCAGCUUGACUGCGAGCGUGACGGCGCGAGCAGGUGCGAAAGCAGGUCAUAGUGAUCCGGUGGUUCUGAAUGGAAGGGCCAUCGCUCAACGGAUAAAAGGUACUCCGGGGAUAACAGGCUGAUACCGCCCAAGAGUUCAUAUCGACGGCGGUGUUUGGCACCUCGAUGUCGGCUCAUCACAUCCUGGGGCUGAAGUAGGUCCCAAGGGUAUGGCUGUUCGCCAUUUAAAGUGGUACGCGAGCUGGGUUUAGAACGUCGUGAGACAGUUCGGUCCCUAUCUGCCGUGGGCGCUGGAGAAUUGAGGGGGGCUGCUCCUAGUACGAGAGGACCGGAGUGGACGCAUCACUGGUGUUCGGGUUGUCAUGCCAAUGGCACUGCCCGGUAGCUAAAUGCGGAAAAGAUAAGUGCUGAAAGCAUCUAAGCACGAAACUUGCCCCGAGAUGAGUUCUCCCUGAGACUUUAAGUCUCCUGAAGGAACGUUGAAGACUACGACGUUGAUAGGUCGGGUGUGUAAGCGCAGCGAUGCGUUGAGCUAACCG
rnacentral:rRNA from 1 species